ensembl:lncRNA
CCCACGUUUUGGGCAGACAUCUUGCCUGCUCCUAAGAAACUCAACUUCCAGCCAGUAUUACUGGAGAGCUUUUAAAAUGUGUCUCUAUAGGCACAGGCUACAGAGUGGAAAAUGGAUUGUGGAAAAUUUAGGAAUAUUAGGACUGUGUUCCUCUCAAAAUUUGCAAGUGCAUGUCUUUUAAGAAAAGAUGAGCAAGGACUCUUUUCUCAGCUGCCUACCAACAUUAUGCUUCAAUCAUGA